GCUAAGGUAGGGUAGCUGGUCAUCCUUUAGGACUGUGGAUCCUUAGACCCGGGUUCGAGUCCCGGCCUUGGCCC
rnacentral:tRNA from 1 species